UCUAGAUCAUAAACCUUAUAAAGAACUUAUUUAUCAGUAAAACACUUCUCUUUAAAAUAUAUUUCAAGACUUAGUAAUUUAUGAUUUUGUUUUUUGUCCAGGCCUCGAAAUGCAGUACUACAGGACAGACAUACUUUUUUAUACUCCUGUACGUGCAGAAGCUCCAAUACUACAGGAAUCAUUGUUCUCAUUGAGAAAAAUGUGGAACUAUAGAAAAGGAUUUAUGAACAGAUAUUACUAAAUAAAAAUAGCUGAGCUUUAUCAUGAUUCUCAUUAAAUAAUCUUUGGGUGCUUUUGCAAGCAUGAUCCAAGAAAGUAUGAGAAUGGAAGUAUGCACAGCAGCAGAACUAAUUCAAAGUCGACUAUGAAUGGCCCUUAAAUAGUGGAAUUGGAAGCAGUCUGUUGUCAAAGUCAACAUUGUGUUCAAUAAGAACUGUCACAAACUACAGUCCUGAAUAAUGGUAGAAAUUAUGUUAAGAGAAAUGUGAGAACAAAAAUAGUCAUUCAAUCCUGAAUGACUUUCUUCCAUAGAGAAAUGAGCAUUGAUACUGUACACUCUUUAUCAUGUGUUACCAGUUGAACACAACUACAUCAAGAUGACAAGUUAUUUUCAUCAGACAACAGAUAUGGCCAAGUAAUAUGCUGUGUACCUCUAGGACACCAUUCUGUCACUCUUCUUUUUGAGGACACAGAUUUUUGGACCACACCUUAUAUUACACGAAAAGGAGAGGGGAAUGGAUAGAAAUCAAAUGUUUUGUUUAGCAUGGCAGCCAGAAAGGUGUCGGAGUUGCGGAAGGAGGAACUACUGUACGAAGUAAGUGUCAGGGGUGCCGAUACAUUGGCAGUGUGGCUGAGUUAGCGCGGCAGCUGCGGGAAGUCACUGACCAUUCAGUUGUACUGCCGCA